UAGUUGGUGUUGAGGACAUAGGCUGUUCCCAGAGUUAUUCCAGUAUAAACGUCUCUCUUGUGUCCGGCUCUUUCUAAGGCGCCAGGCCUCGCAAACCCUGUCGCUCUUCUCCUGAGAACACCGAGAGAGCGCCCCAAGGAGAGACUAGAGACUUGUCCUCAGUCCCGUGCUGUCUUCUGAAGUGCGGGAAGCCGCGGCUUCACACUCUGCUAUGGCUUCAGGUGUCGGUUUCCCCAAAUUGAUGGUAUUCCCAUGAAAUAAAGAGGAACUGCCAACAUUAGGCGCGUGAUGCUGCGCGAGAAACGAAAAAAUGAGUCGGUCUCAGGAGCUUCGUCCCAGUCCUUACAGGCACUGCAGCAGACAACUAGAGAAUCCAGAGUCGUCUGUUAUGCCCACCACUUGUGCUACCCUUGACUGAACAGCACACAGGUUUCAACUUGGAGACUUGCCACUUACCUAGCAAGACUCUGGAACCUUCCUUUGAGGGACCAUAUCCUGUGAUCCCAACAACGCCAAGAGCCAUCAAGGUAGCAGGGACUGCAGCUUGGAUCUACCACUUCCAUCUGAAGGCAUAUACAACCAGCCAGGAGAAAGGUGACAGCUGGAGGGUAAUGCAAUGUUCCCAAUGCCCUCUAAAGGUGUGGCUCAUGUAUACCUUGAACUCAGACUGGCACUGAUUUGGGGAAUCUUGAUAGGUUACUCCCAGCCAGCUAACAAUGUGGAAGCCUGGGAUUGGGAGCUGUCUCGAACCUCAGAUAGGAAAAUAAUAGGUCUUUUCCAGAAUGUCAACUCCCAACCUGUGUUUAAAUUCGACCUGUGUGAUUUCUUUGAUAACAAUGAACUUAUGGCUGAAUGGGGAAUUUAUAGUCCAGUUCACCCAGGGUGUGGGACCAAAAUGCAGGAAAUAUCCUUUUGGUCUUCACCAUUUUACGCAUGCCCGGCUGACGGGCCUACACACUGUCACAGAUGGGAAAAGGAUUAUCACUGCUCCAGCCCAGGUUGCGAGACUGAGUCUGACCAGGGUGGACAUAAAGACCCAUACAUCUCCAUUCAACGGAUAUAUCCUUCCCGGGAUUGCAGACCUGGGACCUGUAAUCCCUUUACUUUAAAGAUUGUGACUUGGAAUGAAUUGAGUGCCAAAUACUGGCUUACUGGCCGGACCUGGGGAUUUGUACUUAAAUUUAAGAAUUAUGGAAACAGUCCUGGUGUAGAAUUCACUAUACAGAAAAAGGUUCCACACUACAGAGCCAAUCCCAUAGGUCCUGAAAGGAGCUGGUUGCCUCAACCAGGGAUUGGGGUGUAUCCUUUCUCUAUCCUAACUCCUCAGGCCAUUUCACCCAUGGUGGUGAAUCUAUCCACAGUCAUGGUCAAGGGGCUGCAGUAAUAGAUAGCUUCAGUCCUACUCCAGAACACACCUACAAGUUUUAUCCCCUAGUGAUUCCCUUGAGCUCAAGACUUGAAGUUAUUGCAUAAUUGGAUAAAUCAUACACACCCCAGCCUUGGAAGAGAUUAUUGGUUUUAUCAAGGUCCAGACCUCUCUUUUAUGUAGAGAUAGGGAUCAAUCUCUCUAUUAUCCCAACUGGAAAAUUUAAAUAGUAAAAUGAAGAAACUAGACUCACCCUGGGAGAUUUCCAAAAGGUUAAUCUCUUCAAUUUGUAAUUAGCCAGCUUCACAUUAUAGCAAAACCUGAGUAUUCAUUUAUACAUCAACUGCUCUGAGCAUAUUAGAAUGUACCUCUAAUGCCUAUUAAGGACAUGCUGGGCCUGUAUAUUUGAGCUUGCUAGAUAUGUAACAGCUGAACACCUUCAAUUUUGGCCCCAGGAAGGAAAUCUCUGUAUUCAAGCCUAUAUCCUCUCCCAAGUAGACAUGUAUACUGGAGAGAAGGGUAGAAAACUUGCCUACAUAUAAAGGAUAUUCCCACUGUGAGGUCCAGCAGGGUCUGUUAGAAUAAAGAGAAUAGCAGUCUCAGCUAUAUAGUUAAACUUCUCCUCCUGAGAGCAAGAAUCGCCUUGGGAGUGUCAGCCCUAGUUAUUUAAGACCAGAAUUUUAAAAUACUCAGUAAUUAAGUAGACCAAGACUCAGCACCUAAAGAGCUCCAUCAGGCAACUUGAACAAGUGGUUUCCUUAGCAGAGAUGGUUUCACAGAACCAUGGAGGACUAGAUUUUAAUUGUGAAGGAAGUACAUUUGUUGUGCUGCCUUAGGUGAAAAACGUUUCUAUGCCAAGAACUCAUGAGUUUAUGGGAAAUAUAGAUAUGGCUCAGAAAAACUUCAGCUGUAAGGGCAAAGGAAUGAGCGGAGGCUUCUGCUUGGUACCAGUCUCCUUUUUUCUUGGUCCCCAUGGCUUACCUCUCUUUUUCCAGCCACAGCCGGGCCCAGUCUUUUACUAUUCAUUGGCAUCCCAAUCAACCCCACAUUUUACAUUGUUGACUGAUGUACAUUAAAGUAGAACCACCUCUGCUAAAAUGAGAGCCCUGCAGGCUUGGUAACAGCCUGUGCUCAGCACAACUCAGGGACUGGAGUCAGAAGAUGGAGAGCCAGUGGGGUUGCAGUGGCUAAGGACGCUCCAUCCUGAACCCAUUUCUGAUUUUAGUAGGCUUUGUCCCCUGACUUAAAUUCUUGAAAGAUAAGCUCCAGACAACCUGUUUCCUUCCCCCAAAAUGGCGUAACUUGUGAAAUGAUUAGCUGCUGGCUCAGGCUUUUGUAACUUGUAACUUGUUGUAUGCAGGGGGAGUUUCUCAUAUAGCUGCAAAUUCCACCGAAAAAUUAAGUAAUUGUGGUUUUUGCCUAUAAAAAUCCUUCCCUCAACCUCUCCUUUCAGUGGUAUGCCUUUGAUUUGACUUUAAGACUGCCACCCAGCUAGCAGUUUUAAUAAAUGUAUCUAAUUAUAAUCUGGA